rnacentral:rRNA from 16 species
CCUCCCAAAAUGUAACGGAGGCGCCCAAAGGUCACCUCAAGACGGUUGGAAAUCGUCUGCAGAGCGCAAAGGUAUAAGGUGGCUUGACUGCGAGACUGACACGUCGAGCAGGGAGGAAACUCGGGCUUAGUGAACCGGUGGUACCGCGUGGAAGGGCCAUCGAUCAACGGAUAAAAGUUACCCCGGGGAUAACAGGCUGAUCUUCCCCAAGAGUCCAUAUCGACGGGAUGGUUUGGCACCUCGAUGUCGGCU